rnacentral:rRNA from 1 species
AUUGAACGCUGGCGGCAUGCCUUACACAUGCAAGUCGAACGGCAGCAUGAUCUAGCUUGCUAGAUUGAUGGCGAGUGGCGAACGGGUGAGUAAUACAUCGGAACGUGCCCUGUAGUGGGGGAUAACUAGUCGAAAGAUUAGCUAAUACCGCAUACGACCUGAGGGUGAAAGUGGGGGACCGCAAGGCCUCAUGCUAUAGGAGCGGCCGAUGUCUGAUUAGCUAGUUGGUGAGGUAAAGGCUCACCAAGGCGACGAUCAGUAGCUGGUCUGAGAGGACGAUCAGCCACACUGGGACUGAGACACGGCCCAGACUCCUACGGGAGGCAGCAGUGGGGAAUUUUGGACAAUGGGCGAAAGCCUGAUCCAGCAAUGCCGCGUGUGUGAAGAAGGCCUUUGGGUUGUAAAGCACUUUUGUCCGGAAAGAAAUGGCUCUGGUUAAUACCUGGGGUCGAUGACGGUACCGGAAGAAUAAGGACCGGCUAACUACGUG